GAUGAACGCUGGCGGCGUGCUUAACACAUGCAAGUCGAACGAUGAAGCCCAGCUUGCUGGGUGGAUUAGUGGCGAACGGGUGAGUAACACGUGAGUAACCUGCCCUUAACUCUGGGAUAAGCCUGGGAAACUGGGUCUAAUACCGGAUAGGAGCGCCUACCGCAUGGUGGGUGUUGGAAAGAUUUAUCGGUUUUGGAUGGACUCGCGGCCUAUCAGCUUGUUGGUGAGGUAAUGGCUCACCAAGGCGACGACGGGUAGCCGGCCUGAGAGGGUGACCGGCCACACUGGGACUGAGACACGGCCCAGACUCCUACGGGAGGCAGCAGUGGGGAAUAUUGCACAAUGGGCGAAAGCCUGAUGCAGCGACGCCGCGUGAGGGAUGACGGCCUUCGGGUGGUAAACCUCUUUCAGUAGGGAAGAAGCGAAAGUGACGGUACCUGCAGAAGAAACACCGGCUAACUACGU
rnacentral:rRNA from 1 species